AAAGAAUUGUAUGAGUAUGGAGAAUGGAAUGCGGGUCUAGGGUAACCAUGGAUGCCUCUUAGUGUAACGGUUUCUGUUGUAGCGCCUCUACCUACAAAAAUCUUAGUUUCCUUUGCCUUUAGGGAUCCCCCGCCAACCACAGUGGUCGGUCCCGAUGCAAGCCAAAGAGUGUAUAAGAGCAAUAAACCCAAAAAAUAGAGAACGCAAUGAAUGCUAGUCAAAUGCAUUCUUACUAACCAAUUACCCCAUAAAUAAAUACCUAUCUAUAUACAGUAUACACACACACACACACACACACAAACAUACCCAUAUACAUAACGUGUAAUGCCUUAGAUAAGGUUAAGGAAUGAUUAAGGACUAAGAAUGGAUUAAGGAGCUAAUCCCAAGCAAAUCACCCACUUAAAUCGCUUUAAUGCCAACCACAAAUCAAAACAAAAGCUUAUUGACUACUUUUAAAUGCAGUUUACAUUCUAUUGUACUACGAUGCAAUGCAAAGUUAGAUCAUACGAAUAGUUUAUAAAUCAGGAUAUCAGGGGUUGCGGUGGACAGAAAAAGAGUUGAACAUUUCGCUGGAAUUAACCUUAAACUAUAUACAAGAUACAGACAUACAUAUAGCUAUAUAUACAUACAUAUAUAUAUGAACAGUAUGAGUAUUAAAAUGAAGGAUGGUUUAUAGGAUAUAUUUUAAAUCUGAAAGUUGAAUGAAUCACAAAUACCCUGUAAUAUUUAAGCUAGACAAACUGUAAAGAUAAAAUGGUGCUUUAGCUGAAUUAUUAAUAAUUAUAAGACUUACCUUGAGGGGCGGCUACAGUCAGUAGUUUCCCCUCGCUCAUUGGAUGGAUGGAUUCUUUUUAAAUUACAUUUUUUAGCCUCUUUUUUAUUCUUACAUACCCAUUCAACUAUUGGAUGCAAAGUGUUUUAGCUCAAGCUUUGAAUUUUCAGAUACAACAUACAAAAAAAUACUCUCAACAAUCACACACACUCGAAACUCGAACACUUGCAUACAUAUUCGUGAAACAAUUUUAAAUAUCUACCUACAUUUACGAUACUUUUUACUCACCAAGGACGAACAAAGGCGACGGCGAACAACUUUUAAUGGAACAUUUUAAGGCUUUUUCGGCCAGAUGGCAAUUGGCGCACUCAAUCUCGAUCGAUCGUAUGUUAAAUCAGUUUUACUUUAAAGUUUUUAACGCUUUUACAAGCUAAACUACCAAAACAAAAACAAAAACGAAAAAAACAAAAAAAAAACGAGAUUUUUAAAUUUAGUCUACAAACAUUUUAAACUUUUCCGCACUGGCUUUUCAUCUAAUUUAAAAAAGAAGACAUUUUAUUUUCAAAAGUAAAAGAAAAGGAAGAAUCUUUAUGUAUCAAUAAAACACACACAAGAAAAACAAGAAAAAAGACAAAUUAAUAUUUAAACGAAAUGUAAAGGAACCAAAAUCGAACGCUUCCCACGCAAAACCGAUAAUAUUAAAUUUUAGCAAAGUAAAAGUAAAAAGUAAUUAAGGAGUUUAUGCAAAGCGAAAUUAGACAACAAUAAAAUCUUAAUUACCAAUGCAACAAAUACUAUAUAGUACAGAUAUAUAUAUAAAUAUACAUAUAUAUACAUACAUAUAUUUUACAGACACAAGUCAUCCGCUUAUCUACUAUACACCCCAUUACUCUAAGACUCCUUCUACGAGAACACUAUAAAAAGAAAGAGUAAAAAACUUAUUUUUAAACUCAAGGUGAAAGAAUCCGAAAAUCCGAUGGGAGGAAAAUCUCUACUCUUAUGCCGAUAUCUCUACACACACACACAAACACAAACAUACACACGCAUUAACUGUAUACUGUAACCUACAUACAUAUACCGUACUAUACAUACAUAUACUAAAACUACAGCUCUCUAUACUAAUCGAUGCCCUUAUAUAUACAGCGGAUAUUUUUACUAUCGUAUUACCGACUGAUGAUUGAUCAUCUGGUAUUCAAAAAUUCACACAAGACAACAAACAAACCACACAAGCGAACAUGUGAGACACAUUUUGGGGGAACAUAAAAGCAAGAACUUUGCAAAUUGAAUUUUAAACAGUAGCACAUGGAAUUUGCUCGGCAAAUGUGUUACAGUUAGGCCAUAAGCAUAGGCGAUAAGGAUAAGAACGCAAUAAGAACGGUUUUUAAUAAGACUAUUAUACAACCUACUAUAUACGAGUAUAUUAUAUAUAUACACAAAAGCAAAGAAGAGAAAAGAAAGGAAUACGAGUAUAUAUAAUACCGAAAUAUUCAGAAUUCAGAACGGAAUACUAAGCUUUUAAUGCAAUAAUCAAAUACCACAUACAAUAUGAAUAUAUUUUAAUAAUACUUGAAGAAGAAGGAACACGAAUACGAAUACGAAUCUGUGCGUUUGAAUCCGUAUACUUAUGUAUGUAUGUAAACUGUUGUUAUAGCAGGAAGAAUGUGAAGCGGAUUUAGAAGAAUAUUUAGUACGGGGUCGUCGCCACCGGCCAGCGAGAUACCCCUAGAUAAGGGUUGUAUCCUCAGGGCUGGUGGUGGGGCGACCCAACUAAUUGAUUUUCCCACCUUAUAUAGGAAUAUAAACAAAAAUUACUGCAGUGCCAUUUUAAAUAGCUUCCGAUAUAUAAAUUGUAUACCUAUUUAUGUA